GCUAAUCCCAGUGGGAUUCUGUUAUAUGAUUCUCCUGGUUGUAAGGAAGCCAAAGUACAUUUUUUUGUAUGUGCAACACUAGUUACAGUAACAAGAACAAUAGCACUGUGGAAAUAAGUGAAGACCCAAAUGAGAACAGAAGCUAUUUAUUUAGAGUUUGGUAUCACAAGGGAGUCAGCCACCAUCACUUGCAUUUAGCAGAAACUCAAACACAAACAGGGAAUGAAGAAAGCUUUAUAGCAGGGGGAAAAAAAAAAAGACUGCAGGUAUGCCCUGUUGGGAGGUUGUUAGCAUGGGGAUGCUAGAAGCUGGCUAACUAGAAGCAGUGCAUUCUAUCUGAUUUGUUUGUGGGGCAGGCGGGGUACGUGUGACUUUCUCUGGUUUGCCCUGAGUUGAGGGUGGGGCAAAAAUAGGGAAGCUGGCAGUUAUUGACUAAGCUCUGAUCCUUCUAGAGGUUGUGGGUCAGAGUUCUCUUGCUAUAUAUGGUCUGGCCAUAAUCUGUUUGUAUAUUUCAUUCUCUCAGGACAACAUUCAUUGAAUACCUCUUAACUGAUAAAACUGACAGUCUCAGUCCUGGCUUCAGAUUUGAAUCACCUGGGAAGAUUUAAAAGCACUACCCUGGAGCAACGAAAUCAGACUUUCUGGGGACGGAGCCCAGACGUCAGUAUUUUCAAGAGUUCCCCAGGAGACUGCAAUGAACAGCCCUGGUCAACACCAAACAAAUGAAGAAUUGAUGCAUUCUUUGGAUACUCAAGAAAAAAAGAGAAAUGAUGGUGGACAAACACCUUCUGGAAGAGUGGAAUAGGAAGGCAGCACUUUCCACACUUGCAGAUAGCUCUGCAUUAGAGUAUCACCUAUUCGUGAGAAAUCUAAGGAUGACAAAAAUGAACCAGAAAGGCUUUCUUUGAAAGAAAAACUACCUCAGUAUCAUUAAAAAAAAAAAAUCCUGGGGAGGGGGAGGAAUUCUUUAGUUCCUAAAGGAAAAAUGUUAAAAAAUAUCUUCUCAAAGUCAUCAAUGAAGAGACGGCAUUAUUUGAAGAUAGGAGAGUCAGAAAGAAAAUAUGCUAGUUUUAUAUGCCUUCCUGACGUUCACAGACCAGAGUUUCCAGGGGCUGGAUAAUUCUGCAAAAGUACUCUGGAG
rnacentral:lncRNA from 1 species